CCUACGGGAGGCAGCAGUGGGGAAUCUUGCGCAAUGGGCGAAAGCCUGACGCAGCAACGCCGCGUGCGGGAAGAAGGCUUUCGGGCUGUAAACCGCUUUCAGCAGGAACGAAAAUGACGGUACCUGCAGAAGAAGGAGCGGCCAACUAUAUGCCAGCAGCCGCGGUGAUACAUAGGCUUCAAGCGUUGUCCGGAUUUAUUGGGCGUAAAGAGUUCGUAGGCGGUCGAGUAAGUCGGGUGUGAAAAUUCUGGGCUCAACCCAGAGACGCCACCCGAUACUGCUUGACUUGAGUUCGAUAGGGGAGUGGGGAAUUCCUAGUGUAGCGGUGAAAUGCGCAGAUAUUAGGAGGAACACCGGUGGCGAAGGCGCCACUCUGGAUCGAUACUGACGCUGAGGAACGAAAGCAUGGGUAGCAAACAGGAUUAGAUACCCUGGUAGUCCAAUGCCGUAAACGGUGGGCACUAGGUGUGGGUUUCAUUACGAAAUCCGNGCCGUCGCUAACGCAUUAAGUGCCCCGCCUGGGGGAGGUACGGUCGCGAGACGUAAACUACAAUAGAAGUUAGACGGCGUGAGACGUAGCCGAACGGACGACGACGAGGGAGGUAGG
rnacentral:rRNA from 1 species